rnacentral:rRNA from 1 species
AUCAUGGCUCAGAUUGAACGCUGGCGGCAUGCUUUACACAUGCAAGUCGAGCGGCAGCGCGGGGGCAACCCUGGCGGCGAGCGGCGAACGGGUGAGUAAUGCAUCGGAACGUGUCCCGUAGUGGGGGAUAACCCGGCGAAAGCCGGGCUAAUACCGCAUAUGCUCUACGGAGAAAGGGGGGGAUCCGCAAGGACCUCUCGCUAUGGGAGCGGCCGAUGUCCGAUUAGCUUGUUGGUGGGGUAAUGGCUUACCAAGGCGACGAUCGGUAGCUGGUCUGAGAGGAUGAUCAGCCACACUGGGACUGAGACACGGCCCAGACUCCUACGGGAGGCAGCAGUGGGGAAUUUUGGACAAUGGGGGCAACCCUGAUCCAGCCAUGCCGCGUGCGGGAAGAAGGCCUUCGGGUUGUAAACCGCUUUUAGUCGGGAAGAAAAGGCGAUCUCUAAUACGGGUCGUUCUUGACGGUACCGGCGGAAUAAGCACCGGCUAACUACGUG